CAGCCUCUGGCGUAGCUGGGACUACGGAUGCACGCCACCAUGCCUGACGGAGUGCUGGCUGUCCCUCGGAACCUGUGUCUUCACCCAGGUAUUCAUGCUGGCUUCCUGGACCCUUUGUGUCUUUUUCUGCCUGGAAAAGUAGGAAUCCAUGGUGGUGAGUCAUACUUCCUAAUCUAAUCCAGUGCUUUGGACGUUUAUCUGUUGUAAUGUGGUAAUCAGGAGUUACGUUUAUUCUUCCUGGCAAAGUGACUUCUUUAUCCCUUUCUGUGAAGCCUCUGCUGUUUUUUUAUUGGCUUUCUAAACUGGGGGAUUAUGCAUAAGAAUUUUCUUGGCAUCUCAAACAUGGGGAUUGUGUGUGGGAAUUUCCUCAUCUCCUCAAUCACUGGUGAUUGCAUGGGGCAGGGGGUCCACUUGACUCCACCCCAGAAAUUGUCCGUGGGAGUUCUCUGGGAUUUCUGCCGUGGAGAUUAUAUGAAGUGUUCCCUUGGCUCUUCAAUCUUGGCUUAACUAUCUGUUAAUCCCGCGGGGAACUCAUUCUCUCAGAUGCCUUCCCUCCUCUUCUUUCCUGUUUACUACAUGCCUUGCCGCUGGGGCACUGAUUCAGUCUAAUG